UUUUGUAUUUUUUUAGUAGAGACGAGGUUUCACCGUGUUAACCGGGAUGAUCUCCAUCUCCUGACCUCGUGAUCCGCCCGCCUCAGCCUCCCAGAGUGCUGGGAUUACAGGCGUGAGCCACCGCACCCGGCCACAGAGAUAGAACUUUUAUAUGACCCAGUAACUCUACUUCAGGUAUAUACCCAAAGGAAUUGAAAACAGGUGCUCAAACAAAUACAUGUAUGCACAUGCAUGCUCAUAGCAGUAUUAUUUUCAAUGGUCAAAAUGUGGAAACAACCUGAAUUUCCAUCUGUGGAUAAAUGGGUAAAUAAACUGUGGAAUAUCCAUACAAUGGAAUAUUAUUUGGCCACAAAGGGAAUAAAGUACUAAUAGUUGCCACCAUGUGGAUGAACCUUGGAAAACAUUAUGUUAAGUGGAAGAAGCUAGACACAGAAAGUCACAUAGUAUGCUUCUAUUUAUGUUAAAUAUCCUGAAUAAAUUAGUCCGUAGAGGCAAAAAGCAGAUUGGUGGUUGCCAGGGGCCGGGGGAAUGGGGGGUAAUUGCUUAAUGGGUACAAAGUUUCCUUUUUCAGGGGUGAUGGAAAUGUUUAGGAGCUACUGACAGGUAGUGUUUGUACAACAUUGUGAAUAUACCAAAUACCACUGAAUUGUUCGCUUUAAAAAUCAUAUAGUUAAUUUUAUAAAGUUAUGUGAAUUUCACCUCGAUUAAAAUAUUUCUAAAAAUUUUGAACUAUAUAAAAGAUUGCUCUGCUAGAAAGGUUAAGCAAAUUAUAAUACAGGCAAACAGUGGAAUAUUAUGCAGCCACUAAAAAUUUAAGAACAUUUUAAUGACCUGGAAAAUGCUACAAUGUAAUACUAAGCAAAUAAAUAGGAUAAAAAUAAUCUAUGUGUAGCAUUAUACUAAUUAUGUUAAUUUAAAAGUGCAUAGAAAAGACUACAUAAAGAUACAUGAAAAUAUUGGUUAUUGUUCCCUCAAAAGGUUCAUGCUUCCAUUUUCUUGAACACUUAUUAAGUGCCAGGCAUAGUGAGUAAGGCAAGUGAAGUGCCUUACAGCAGAGAACAUGAGGCCUGAAAGAAAGGCCAUUGAUCCAGAGACGGCUGGGAGAUCAGCAGAGCAACAUUCUUCUCUCUUCUCUGCCCCAGAGUCCCUGGUGACCCUUCUGGGCUACAGUACUCCUCUCACACAAAGGGGAGUGUGACAGGUGCCCUCUCUGGGGAGCCAUCCAGCCUUUUGGUGUUUUCCUCAAGAACCACCUGUACAUGGGCCGAAAGCUACACAUCCAGGAUGCUCCUGUCAAUAUUGUUCGUUGUAGUGAACGCCUAGGAACAACUUGAGUAUUUAUCCACAGGGGAAAGAGAAAUACUGUAGAGUCGUUACCUGCUGGGAUACUCCACAGCAGCUGGAAGGAAUGAAUGAGGCCUCUAUUUUCUAUUUCUCAUCCUGGGUAGAUUUUGACAACUUAAUGAUAAGAUGGGGCAAAUAUGCUCCUCUGCUAUCCCCAUUGUCAGAAUUGCAGAAAAGUCUCACAAUUAGAUAGUUUUUUGUUUUGUUUUGUUUUGAGACGGAGUCUCGCUCUGUGGCCCAGGCUAGAGU
rnacentral:lncRNA from 10 species